AGCCCAUGUAAGUAUAUAGUUUCCAUGUUUAUUUCAUUCUCAUUUCGACUGUUCUGUAUCAAACUAAAUUUGUUGUCCUGUCUCAAAUCAUUUUUUGUUCGGCUAGAAAAACGUGACUUGUACGAAUUAACCAUGUGCUGUGGACCUUGUGGACCGUGCUGCGGACCCUGCGGAUAUAGGUGUUCUCCCUGCGGACCAUGCUGUGGGCGUUGUGGACCAUGUAGGCCGUGUGGACCCUGCUGCGGACCCUGUGGACCGUGUUGCGGGCCAUUUGGUAGCUGCUGUGGAGGUUGUUGGUGCUAAGUGCCUAGCAUCUGCAGCCGAAUCGAUUCAAGGGACCAUUGCUACUUCUAUUUCGCACACUAAGGUUAACGUAACACCUAACACUCAAAGCCAAAUUUUAUAAAUAAAGACAAUGCAACAGUAAACAAUUUAAAAA